UUGGGGGGGAGGGUGGGGGUUACUUUUUGAAGUGCUGGGGAACUUUUUCCCCUUUUUGAGGCCAGGGGAAAGGGAAUGCCCAAUCCAGAGAGACAUGGGGGCAAGAAGGACGGGACUGGAGGAGCUUCUGGAACUUUGCAGCCGUCAUCGGGAGGUGGCAGCUCCAACAGCAGAGAGCGUCACCGCUUGGUGUCGAAGCACAAGCGGCAUAAGUCCAAGCACUCCAAAGACAUGGGGUUGGUGACCCCCGAAGCAGCACCUUUGGGUACAAUUAUCAAACCUUUGGUGGAAUAUGAUGACAUCAGCUCAGAUUCAGAUACCUUCUCUGACGACAUGGCCUUCAAAGUAGACAGGAGGGAGAAUGAUGAACGUCGUGGAACUGAUCGGAGUGACCGCCUGCACAAACAUCGUCACCACCAGCACAGACGUUCCCGGGACUUACUAAAAACUAAACAGACAGAGAAAGAAAAAAACCAGGAAGUCUCCAGUAAGUCGGGAUCGAUGAAGGACCGGAUUUCAUGCAGUUCAAAGCGUUCCAAUGAGGAGAAUGAUGACUAUGGAAAGGCACAGAUAGCCAAAAGCAGCAGCAACAAGGAAUCGAGGUCAUCCAAACUCCAUAAGGAGAAGACCCGGAAAGAACGGGAAUUGAAGUCUGGGCACAAAGACCGGAGUAAAAGUCAUCGGAAAAGGGAAACACCCAAAAGUUACAAAACAGUGGACAGCCCCAAACGGAGAUCCAGGAGUCCCCACAGGAAAUGGUCUGACAGCCCCAAGCAAGAUGAUAGCCCCUCAGGAGCUUCUUAUGGCCAAGAUUAUGACCUUAGUCCCCCAAGAUCUCACACCUCUAGCAAUUAUGACUCCUACAAGAAGAGUCCUGGAAGUACCUCAAGAAGGCAGUCAAUUAGCCCACCUUACAAGGAGCCUUCGGCCUACCAGUCCAGCACCCGGUCCCCCAGUCCCUACAGUAGACGACAGAGGUCUGUGAGUCCCUACAGCCGGAGACGAUCGUCCAGCUAUGAAAGGAGUGGCUCUUACAGUGGGAGAUCACCUAGUCCCUAUGGUCGACGGCGGUCCAGCAGCCCUUUCAUGAGCAAACGAUCUCUGAGUCGGAGUCCACUCCCCAGUAGGAAAUCUAUGAAGUCUAGAAGUAGAAGUCCUGCAUAUUCAAGACACUCAUCUUCUCAUAGUAAAAAGAAGAGAUCCGGGUCACGCAGUCGACAUUCCAGUAUCUCACCUGUCAGGCUUCCAUUGAACUCCAGCUUGGGAGCUGAACUCAGUAGGAAAAAGAAGGAAAGAGCAGCUGCUGCUGCUGCAGCAAAAAUGGAUGGAAAGGAAUCCAAGGGUUCACCUAUAUUUUUGCCUAGAAAAGAGAACAGUUCAGUAGAGUCUAAGGAUUCAGGCUUGGAGUCUAAAAAGUUACCCAGAGGUGUAAAAUUGGAAAAGUCUGCCCCAGAUACUGAACUGGUGAAUGUAACACAUCUAAACACAGAGGUCAAAAAUUCUUUAGAUACAGGGAAAGUAAAGUUGGAUGAGAACUCUGAGAAGCAUCCUGUUCUUAAAGAUUUGAAAGCACAGGGAACAAGAGACUCUAAACUCGUAGCAUUGAAAGAGGAGAUUGUUACUCCAAAAGAGACAGAGACAUCAGAAAAGGAGACCCCUCCACCUCUCCCCACAGUUACUUCUCCUCCACCUCCUUUACCAACUACUACCCCUCCACCUCAGACACCUCCUUUGCCACCUUUGCCACCACUACCAGCUCUUCCACAGCAACCACCUCUGCCUCCCCAACCAGCAUUUAGUCAGGUUCUUGCUUCUAGUACUUCAACUUUGCCCCCUUCUACCCACCCAAGGACAUCUACUCUGUCCUUUCAGGCAAAUUCUCAGCCCCCUGUACAGGUUUCUGUGAAGACUCAAGUAUCUUUAACAGCUGCUAUUCCACACCUAAAAACUUCAACGUUGCCUCCUCUGCCCCUCCCACCCUUAUUACCAGGAGAUGAUGACAUGGAUAGUCCAAAAGAAACUCAACCUUCAAAACCUGUAAAGAAAGAGAAGGAACAAAGGCCACGUCACUUACUCAUGGACCUCCCUCUCCCUCCAGAGCUCCCUGGUGGGGAUCCCUCUCCCCCAGACUCUCCAGAACCAAAGGCAAUCACACCACCUCAGCAACCGUAUAAAAAGAGACCAAAAAUUUGUUGUCCUCGUUAUGGAGAAAGAAGACAAACAGAAAGCGACUGGGGGAAACGCUGUGUGGACAAGUUUGACAUUAUUGGGAUUAUUGGAGAGGGAACCUAUGGCCAAGUAUAUAAAGCCAAGGACAAAGAUACAGGGGAGCUGGUGGCCCUGAAGAAGGUGAGGCUAGAUAAUGAGAAAGAGGGCUUCCCAAUCACAGCCAUUCGUGAGAUCAAAAUCCUUCGUCAGCUAAUCCACCGAAGUGUUGUUAACAUGAAGGAAAUUGUCACAGAUAAACAAGAUGCACUGGAUUUCAAGAAGGACAAAGGUGCCUUUUACCUUGUAUUUGAGUACAUGGACCAUGACUUAAUGGGACUGCUAGAAUCUGGUUUGGUGCACUUUUCUGAGGACCAUAUCAAGUCAUUCAUGAAACAGCUAAUGGAAGGAUUGGAUUAUUGUCACAAAAAGAAUUUCCUGCAUCGGGAUAUUAAAUGUUCUAACAUUUUGCUGAAUAACAGUGGGCAAAUCAAGCUAGCAGAUUUUGGACUUGCUCGGCUUUAUAACUCUGAAGAGAGUCGCCCUUAUACAAACAAAGUCAUUACUCUUUGGUACCGACCUCCAGAACUUCUGCUGGGAGAGGAGCGUUAUACACCAGCCAUAGAUGUUUGGAGCUGUGGAUGCAUCCUUGGGGAACUGUUCACCAAGAAGCCUAUUUUUCAAGCCAAUCUGGAACUGGCUCAGCUAGAACUGAUCAGUCGACUCUGUGGUAGCCCUUGUCCAGCUGUGUGGCCUGAUGUUAUCAAGCUGCCCUACUUCAAUACCAUGAAACCGAAGAAGCAAUAUAGAAGGCGUCUACGAGAAGAAUUCUCUUUCAUUCCUUCAGCAGCACUUGAUUUACUGGACCACAUGCUGACACUAGACCCUAGCAAACGUUGCACAGCUGAACAGACCCUACAGAGUGAUUUCCUUAAAGAUGUCGAGCUCAGCAAAAUGGAUCCUCCAGACCUCCCGCACUGGCAGGAUUGCCAUGAAUUAUGGAGUAAGAAACGGCGACGGCAGCGACAAAGUGGUGUUGUGGUAGAAGAGCCACCUCCAUCCAAAGCCUCUCGAAAAGAGACGACCUCAGGGACAAGUGCUGAGCCUGUGAAGAACAGCAGUCCAGCACCACCUCAGCCUCCUCCUGCCAAAGUGGAGCCUGGGGCUGGGGAUGCAAUAGGCCUUGGUGACAUCACACAGCAGUUGAAUCAAAGUGAAUUGGCAGUGUUAUUGAACCUGCUGCAGAGCCAAACUGACCUGAGCAUCCCUCAAAUGGCUCAGCUGCUUAACAUCCACUCCAACCCAGAGAUACAGCAGCAGCUGGAGGCCCUGAACCAAUCCAUCAGUGCCCUAACAGAAGCUUCCCAGCAGCAGAAUUCAGAGCCUGUGGCCCUAGAAGAGUCUUUGAAGGAGGCACCCCCUGCCCCAGUGGUUCAGCCUUCAGCAGAACAGACGACCCCUGAAACUUCAAGCACACCAGCUGACAUGCAGAAUAUGUUGGCAGUUCUUUUGAGUCAGCUGAUGAAAACCCAGGAGCCAUCAGGCAGCCUGGAGGAAAACAACAGUGACAAGAACAGUGGGUCACAGGGGCCCCGAAGAACUCCCACAAUGCCACAGGAGGAGGCAGCAGGUGACAGCAGCAGCAGGAGGGAUGGCCUCUGAGGAAUUUGGUGAUGUCCAUCAGCCACCUGGCAUCCAGAGCCCUGGCAAGUUCACUCUUUCACAGACUCUAAAGCCAGGUUUGAUGGGAGAUCCCAUCUGUCCAAACACUAUGCAAGACACCAGAAGUAGAAGCUUACAAGCCUGCUUCUCUCCAUCCUCAGUGCCUAGAAUCAGGCAGGUCACCAGCCUUCAGUGCCUGGCCCCACUCUUCUUGUUGCCAGAUGUGGAAAUGGAGACCCAGAGAGGGGAAGUCAGUUGAAUCCUGUCCUGGAGCUGCUGUGUGUUUCUGGAUUUGAAGAGUUCCUGGGAACACAGGGAAAGAUUCCUAGAGAUGAAGGAGGGAGCUCUGGCCCUGCGAAUAGGAAGAUGGUGGGCUCCGGCGCCCUUUGGGUACAUAUCUGCCUGGCUGGAGGAGGGGGGAGGAAGAAGGCUGCUGGCAGCUCACUUGAGCUCAAGAUUCUGAUGACUCAUAGCAAUGGGGGCGGCUCAUGAAAACAACAGAGAAGAAGGGGGUCCAGGCCUGUUAGACCUCUCUUUUACCCUAUUUCUCCCCGACUCUCAGCUCUGUGGACAAAGGUCUCUCAUCUGGAUUGUUGAGCAAGAAAAGGCCCUAGAAAGAAGAGAGGGAAAUGGGAGAGGAGAGAGCAAGAAAAGCUGAGCGUACCUAGUGAGAGACUUCCCAGUAAGGAAAGAAUAGGAGAGGCCAGUUAUUCUUGCCUUACUGUAUCCAUUGGCUGCACAGAGUGUACUGGGCAUCCACAUGUGCUGGGGCAGUUCAGCACUCCUGGGCACCUUCCAGAAGAGGAGCUUUCCAGGCAGACACAGCUACUCUUCCCUGCCCUCACUACUUGUCCAGAGCUCUAGGUACCCAGCUGACACCACAUGACUUAGGAAUUUUUUUUUCAAAAAAGCACUGUUCCAAGAACCAGGAAGGAUUACACUUGGUCUCGGGACUCUCUUCCCUGGAAACAGACGUCAUAGAUCUCCAAAGUUGCUGAUUUCCUCUUCCCUUACAGGCCAAGUUGGCAAUGUUCAUUUUCUCUAUCCUUUCUGAAUUAGGGGGAUGAUAGGAUACUGUGUUUGAGAUCACACCAACAGAAAGGGACCAGAAGGUGGACCAGGAGAACCAUUCAUGCCUCCAACCACAGGACCAGGUGCCUCCUUGUUUCAGCAAAGGGAAGCAGCAAUCUUGGAUACCAAUGUAUCCAGAUACGUAAUAAUAAAUACCCUUGCUCUAACCUCAGAGAAGGAUUUGCUAAGAGGAGGGGAGUUCUCUGACAGCCUGAAUUUUCAUUUGCCUGUUUGUAUUCCUUUCGUUACUGUUGGCUCUGCUCUCCAGCUGGGGUGAGCGUCCCUCUGCUCCUGGAGAUCCAGAGACAAUUUUGAUUGGAGAAAGGACAGACCAACCACUCUUCAUGUAGAGAGAUGGGACCCGCUCCACUCUCCCAGCUCUCCCUGGCAGCAUCAGGAGCCCAAGGGCCCUUGCUGGAACACCGAUAAUAAAGCUCAGUCCUGAACUGAACCAACACAUUACCUGGCUCUUGUAUAAGUGGUGCUAUGAGAGGGAUCCUGGGUGCACCCAGGUGGGGUGUAGGCAGAUGUGGGGACUUCAGCCCCAGAGGAGAGAGAAGAAUCACUCCUUGGUACCACAUGCUCCUCCUCUUUCUCAAACCUUCUCCUCGGUCCCUCUUUUACCUCCCUUCAGCCAACUCCACUCCUGGCCACCUUAUCCCCUCCAAUCUGAGAAGACAUGGUAAGUAGUUGUCUGUUCCUACACUUUUCUCUCUCUCACUCUCCUCCUCUCCUCCCAGUUCCCAGCCAAGAGUUAUCCCAUUUGAACUCUUUCCACCAGUGAAUGCCAUCAGGAUCUGAACCUAGAAUCCCCAGCCUCUGCCACCCCUCUGACUCUGAGAAUGCCUCUCUGACUCUGAGACUGACUCAUCAGUCCUCACAAAUAUAGCCAGGCCAAGGCUGGUAUGUCCACUGGCACCAAGGGCCCUGACCUGAAGCAGAGGGCAGCGCUAGGGGUGCAGUGAGGCCUGGCCCUAAAUGCGUGUAUGUCUGUGCAUUGGGCACGCUGGUUUAUUAGUGUUAUUUCAGCAUUGUGAUGCAGAGAGAGUAAGUGUAACAGCUGCUCCUUGCUUGCAGUGUUUAUUGUUACCUAGAGACAACCUCCUGGCUUUUUCCCAGCUCCCCCUCCCCCCCAGCCCAACCCCCUCCCUGCCAACAGUCCUACUCUCCACACACUGAUGGGAAAUUUAUAGCUUGCCCAUACCAUGCCUUUAACCCUCUCCUAUCUAUAGGAUAGGUGGGGCGAGGGAAGCCAAAGUGAGCAGUGGGCAUGCUUGGGCCCCAGCAGGGUAGAAUAGUGUAUGGAGGAGAGAGGGAGGGACGGAGGGAGGGAGGGAGGGAGAAGACACCUCCCCUCCACAAUCUGUGUGUCCAGACUCAGGUCCCAGUUGCCCUCCUGGAUCUCAUGUUGAGAGAAAAGAGCUUUGGACCUAGCCUUGGGAUCCCAGCAUCCUCCUCACAAGAUUAUUCUCUUCCCUGGGCAUCUCUGAGCCCCCUAGUUGGGCUGCCGGUCCUGGGCAAGUACAUCGAGAUAGUAUUGAAGAAGAGAAGUAAAUACAGAGUGGCAGAACCCCCAGCCCGCUCCUUUCUAUAGAGAUGUCAUAUUGAGACAAAAAAGAGGUUGUGGCAUGAGGGGUGCUAGCCAGAUCUG